CACGAAGUUAGCCGGGGCUUCUUCUGUAGGUACCGUCAUUAUCUUCCCUACUGAAAGAGCUUUACAACCCUAAGGCCUUCAUCACUCACGCGGCAUGGCUGGAUCAGGCUUGCGCCCAUUGUCCAAUAUUCCCCACUGCUGCCUCCCGUAGGAGUCUGGGCCGUGUCUCAGUCCCAGUGUGGCGGAUCAUCCUCUCAGACCAGCUAAAGAUCGUCGCCUUGGUAGGCCAUUACCCCACCAACUAGCUAAUCUUACGCGGGCUCAUCUAAUUCCGAUAAAUCUUUCCCCCGUAGGGCGUAUACGGUAUUAGCAGUCGUUUCCAACUGUUGUUCCGUAGAACUAGGUAGAUUCCCACGCGUUACUCACCCGUCUGCCACUCCCCUUGCGGGGCGUUCGACUUGCAUGUGUUAAGCCUGCCGCCAGCGUUCGUUCUGAGCCAGGAUCAAACUCU
rnacentral:rRNA from 1 species